rnacentral:lncRNA from 1 species
GCCGUUCAACAAACAAACAAUGUUUUUGUCCAUAUUCUUUAAAAAAACAUGUUUUUGACAACAAAUUUCAGUAAAUAUAAUGCCACACUAUAAUAAUCUAAAAACGUGUCUGGAAAAAUAAUGAAAAACAGUUCAAUAUCUUGAGAAUGGGGCGACAGAGGACGAUCGACCUCAAAAUUUUCCGGUACUAAGUGGCAAGUUUUGGAGUAUUACACAAAAUCUUGUAUUAAUUUUGUACUUAUCGGCCUAAUAAUUUAAAGAAUUAUAUAUCAGAAAAUCAUUUCUUAAGCGGCACCCUCAUCCAAUGAGUGGAAAUGCUUUAAAUUGAAUGCAUUCUUAACUUGUUUACUUUUUUUUCUAUUUCUCUCCGCUUCGUUAGUACCCAAUUUCCUGUGGCGAUGAUACACAGUGAUGUUACUAUUUAAAAAAUUGAAGAACUUACGAUAGCUUUAGGAUAUCUUUGCUAUGAUCAUCAUAAGAGAUAAGACAGCUUCGAGACGUGGUCUGAGAUAUGUCCUAAGAUAUGUCUAAUGACAGGUUUUAGGAUAGCUUUGUGAAACCGGCCCCUGGUAGGUAUCGUAGUGAAAACGAUAUGGUGACACUAAGGUCGUCAUUAACUCUUGACUUUUAAAAAUCAAAUGCGACCAUGAUCUUAAUGAUGACUUUGUUGUGGUAAUGUCAAAUUUAAUUACUACUCCCUUGACCCGCAACAGUCAAUUGAACUCUGCAUAAAAAAGGCCCACAUUCAAUAAAAAUAAAAGGAUAUAAUGGACAACGUUAGUGCGAAAGCCGAUUGCAACCCAACGAUAAAAAAGACAAAAACGACUUAAAAAUAGACAUUUUUAAAACCUUUUCAACGUCCCAAUUAUGUAAAAGCUAUGUUAU